rnacentral:tRNA from 1 species
UGGCUCAAUGGUAGAGCGUUCGACUCAAUUACCAAAGGUCUUGGGUUCAAAUCCCAG